AGUGAACGCUGGCGGUAGGCCUAACACAUGCAAGUCGAACGGCAGCACAGUAAGAGCUUGCUCUUACGGGUGGCGAGUGGCGGACGGGUGAGGAAUACAUCGGAAUCUACUUUUUCGUGGGGGAUAACGUAGGGAAACUUACGCUAAUACCGCAUACGACCUACGGGUGAAAGCAGGGGAUCUUCGGACCUUGCGCGAUUGAAUGAGCCGAUGUCGGAUUAGCUAGUUGGCGGGGUAAAGGCCCACCAAGGCGACGAUCCGUAGCUGGUCUGAGAGGAUGAUCAGCCACACUGUCACUGAGACACGGUCCAGACUCUUACGGGAGGCAGCAGUGGGGAAUAUUGGACAAUGGGGGCAAGCCUGAUCCAGCCAUACCGCGUGGGUGAAGAAGCCCUUCGGGUUGUAAAGCCCUUUUGUUGGGAAAGAAAAGCAGCAGGUUAAUACCCCGCUGUUCUGACGGUACCCAAAGAAUAAGCACCGGCUAACUUCGUG
rnacentral:rRNA from 1 species